AAAUUGAAGAGUUUGAUCAUGGCUCAGAUUGAACGCUGGCGGCAGGCCUAACACAUGCAAGUCGAACGGUAACAGGAAGCAGCUUGCUGCUUCGCUGACGAGUGGCGGACGGGUGAGUAAUGUCUGGGAAACUGCCUGAUGGAGGGGGAUAACUACUGGAAACGGUAGCUAAUACCGCAUAAUGUCGCAAGACCAAAGAGG
rnacentral:rRNA from 2 species